GUGAGAAGCUUAAUUUCACUCACGCUCCGUGGUCAUGUGAUUUAAACGAAUCCUCGAUGCAGAAAAACUGCAUAGAGGAUUUUUUUGCCUCGAUUACAUCGAUUAAAUCGAUGAAUCGUUUCAGCCCUAGUCCCAUAUUACUGCAU